UGUGUUGUGGCUCAGUGGUAGAAUACUUGCCUAGCAUGUAUGAGGUACUGAGUUCAAUUCUCAGCAUCACAU
rnacentral:tRNA from 1 species